rnacentral:misc_RNA from 1 species
GUGAAUCAUCGAAUUUUUGAACGCAAAUUGCGCCUUUUUCGGAAGGCAUGUCUGUUUGAGGGCACCAUUUAACAAAUAAUGUGCAUUUCGUGUGCACACGUUGAUGAGCUUUCCAAAAUUAUGUAUUAUUAUUUUUGGUGGCGCAAAAUAAACAGAGCGUUGCUUUUUUUCAGUUCGAGUGUAGUAAAAUUUUUUUUUGCUCGGGUUGUGAAAAAGCGUGAUCGAGUAAUGGGUGUGGUAAUUUUAGUUAAUCCCUGUCUCAACGCCA